GAUGAACGCUGGCGGCGUGCCUAAUACAUGCAAGUCGAGCGAAUGGAUUAAGAGCUUGCUCUUAUGAAGUUAGCGGCGGACGGGUGAGUAACACGUGGGUAACCUGCCCAUAAGACUGGGAUAACUCCGGGAAACCGGGGCUAAUACCGGAUAAUAUUUUGAACUGCAUGGUUAAAAAUUGAAAGGCGGUUUCGGCUGUCACUUAUGGAUGGACCCGCGUCGCAUUGGCUAGUUGGUGAGGUAACGGCUCACCAAGGCAACGAUGCGUAGCCGACCUGAGAGGGUGAUCGGCCACACUGGGACUGAGACACGGCCCAGACUCCUACGGGAGGCAGCAGUAGGGAAUCUUCCGCAAUGGACGAAAGUCUGACGGAGCAACGCCGCGUGAGUGAUGAAGGCUUUCGGGUCGUAAAACUCUGUUGUUAGGGAAGAACAAGUGCUAGUUGAAUAAGCUGGCACCUUGACGGUACCUAACCAGAAAGCCACGGCUAACUACGUGCCAGCCGCCGCGGUAA
rnacentral:rRNA from 1 species